ACUUAAAUUGAAGAGUUUGAUCAUGGCUCAGAUUGAACGCUGGCGGCAGGCCUAACACAUGCAAGUCGAGCGGCAGCGGGAAAGUAGCUUGCUACUUUUGCCGGCGAGCGGCGGACGGGUGAGUAAUGCCUGGGGAUCUGCCCAGUCGAGGGG
rnacentral:rRNA from 1 species